rnacentral:rRNA from 1 species
GGGCCCGCACAAGCGGUGGAGCAUGUGGUUUAAUUCGAUGAUACGCGAGGAACCUUACCAGGGCUUAAAUGUAGUCUGACAGAUUUGGAAACAGAUUUUUCUUCGGACAGAUUACAAGGUGCUGCAUGGUUGUCGUCAGCUCGUGCCGUGAGGUGUCAGGUUAAGUCCUAUAACGAGCGCAACCCCUAUUGUUAGUUGCCAGCGAGUAAUGUCGGGAACUCUAGCAAGACUGCCGGUGCAAACCGCGAGGAAGGUGGGGAUGACGUCAAAUCAUCACGGCCCUUACGUCCUGGGCCACACACGUGCUACAAUGGCCGGUACAGUGAGCAGCCACUACGCGAGUAGGAGCGAAUCUACAAAGCCGGUCACAGUUCGGAUUGGAGUCUGCAACUCGACUCUAUGAAGCUGGAAUCGCUAGUAAUCGGAUAUCAGCCAUGAUCCGGUGAAUACGUUCCCGGGCCUU